AUCCAACUGACGCGUCCCAAAUAGGAUGCAACGUGCGUCAAACUGGAU
rnacentral:hammerhead_ribozyme from 1 species